rnacentral:rRNA from 1 species
GUAGGUGGCAAGCGUUGUCCGGAAUUAUUGGGCGUAAAGCGCGCGCAGGCGGUUCUUUAAGUCUGAUGUGAAAGCCCACGGCUCAACCGUGGAGGGCCAUUGGAAACUGGAGAACUUGAGUACAGAAGAGGAAAGCGGAAUUCCACGUGUAGCGGUGAAAUGCGUAGAGAUGUGGAGGAACACCAGUGGCGAAGGCGGCUUUCUGGUCUGUAACUGACGCUGAGGCGCGAAAGCGUGGGGAGCAAACAGGAUUAGAUACCCUGGUAGUCCACGCCGUAAACGAUGAGUGCUAAGUGUUAGGGGGGUUUUCCGCCCCCCUUAGUGCUGCAGCUAACGCAUUAAGCACUCCGCCUGGGAGUACGGCCGCAAGGCUG